UCCCCUUACAUUCCAUUACAUUCCUUUUUUCAACUCGCCCAUUGGAAGCUUGUCGCUGUUGAAGGCUCGUUGCCGUCGAAAGUUCGUCGCCGCCGUUGAAGACUUUUUCGUACUCUGUCAUCGCCGAACUGUCGAAGGCUCUACACGGUUCGCCGUCGUCGAAGACUCGUCGCCGUUGAAGGCUCACCGCCAUCGAAGGUUUUUCCGCUCUCUGUCGUCACCUCCUAACUGUUGAAGGCUCUACCACCAUUUCACUCUAAGUAAGGUAGCGGUUGAUGAGAAUGGUCAAUCAAAAGGGUAUGGAUUUGUGCACUUUGACAAUGACGAGUCUGCUCAGAAUGCUAUCAAAAAAUUUAACGGCAUGUUAAUAAAUGUUGCAGUAGCUCGGCGAAAGGAAGAAAGGAAGUCUAAUUUACAGGCCCAGUUUUCUCAUAUGCAAAUUGCACCUUUCUCUGCUGGCAUUACUGGAUAUCAUCCAGCUUAUUUUGGUCCAGGAACACGUGGGUUUGUCUCACCUCAGGCAACAGGCUAUGGUUUUCAACCUCAUGUCUUGCCAUAAAGCAUGUGUGGGGUUGCUCCAAAUUUCUUGCCACAAAGCAUGUCUUGCCACAAAGCAUGUGUGGUUUAGAGUGGUUUUAAUUGUCAGUGAUAACUGUUAGAGUGAUUUGUAUUGUAGAAGUGUCCAAUACUUUAAUAGCAGUACCAAAACUGUUUUCACAAAACAGUUUACUGAACUGUAUUGGAGUUAACUAAACUAAAAAAUAGUUCAGUUCAGUUUUUUUAAACUAUUUUUUAGUUCAGUUCAAUUUUUUUGAACUAUUUUAUAGUUAAUUGUAAUGG